UGGGGAAUUUUGGACAAUGGGCGAAAGCCUGAUCCGCAAUGCCGCGUGUGUGAAGAAGGCCUUCGGGUUGUAAAGCACUUUUGUCCGGAAAGAAAUCCUUGGCUCUAAUACAGUCGGGGGAUGACGGUACCGGAAGAAUAAGCACCGGCUAACUACGUGCCAGCAGCCGCGGUAAUACGUAGGGUGCAAGCGUUAAUCGGAAUUACUGGGCGUAAAGCGUGCGCAGGCGGUUUGCUAAGACCGAUGUGAAAUCCCCGGGCUCAACCUGGGAACUGCAUUGGUGACUGGCAGGCUAGAGUAUGGCAGAGGGGGGUAGAAUUCCACGUGUAGCAGUGAAAUGCGUAGAGAUGUGGAGGAAUACCGAUGGCGAAGGCAGCCCCCUGGCCAAUACUGACGCUCAUGCACGAAAGCGUGGGGAGCAAAACAGGAUUAGAUACCCUGGUAGUCCACGCCCUAAAACGAUGUCAACUAGUUGUUGGGGAUUCAUUCCUUAGUAACGUAGCUAACGCGUGAAGUUGACCGCCUGGGGAUACGGUCGCAAGAUUAAAACUCAAAGGAAUUGACGGGGUCAUAGCUGUUUCCU
rnacentral:rRNA from 1 species